AACUGUUGGUUGAAAUAGAGUUCAUCAGAACGUUCUGGCGCAUUCCUAUAUGGUGUUAGCAGCCAAGGUUCAAGAGGAUAUCCGGAGUCUCCUAUAAUAAUAAUAACAAAAUCAUAUACAUAAGUGUUGCUGAGAGAUGUUGAUAAUUUCUUUUAAAACAUCAAUAUAAUGUCGUCCUCAAACUUUCACGUUCUCCUGAGAGGUUCCAUACGUGGGAGUCAUGCGACUCGCCUCCAAAUCUACCAUUUACUGCCCUUAUCUGCAUUUUGUGAUCGCAUAUCUAAAAAAAAGUUUUAGGUCAUUGCACUGGAAUCAAUAUAAUUUACGAUUAAAAAAUAAGUGUUAAUUCCGUGA